rnacentral:lncRNA from 1 species
GGAUUACAGGCGUGAGCCACCACGCCCAGCCAGAACUUUUAGUUUUAAAACAUUGCCUAUGUUAUUCUGAUUCUCAACCAGGUGAGUGAACCAGUGCAAUAAGCCAACUAUUAUCUAGAGCAACACUUUUCUCGACACCUUCAUGAGAGAUGUUCAUCUUGCUUCCGGGGUAAGGAGCACAGCCUAUGUUGUAGCUUCCAGUAGUGGGCAGCCCUUAAUAAUUUUGGAAAAUUCUUUCUCACAUUGACCUAUCACCAGUUUCUCUGUAACCAUAGUAUGUGAUUCUUAUAAUGCAAAUCAUAGGCACUACUGAUUGUGCACUCACUGUGUGCAGACUCGUGCUAAAUACUUUAGCUCUAUUUUACCACUCAAGUGCCUCAGCAACUCUCUGAGGUUGGUAUUAUCAUCAUUCGUAUUUUGCAGAUGAGAUCAUUUCAUCCUGGAGAUACAAAUGAUGUGUGUUUCUUUCAUCUAGUCUCUAUAAGCUCUUCAGAUGUUUGCAGGUGAGUCAAGUGAUUGGACAGAGGGUAUGAGGCUCUUCCUGGAUUCCUAAAGCCUAGGCCUUUGAGAGGGCUCAUGAAUUUCCUUGGAGUCCCUGCAUCUGUGAUGUGAGGAAUGUCUCCCUGGGAGAUACUAGCUGCCCACAGUUUCCUAAGCAGGAAGUAACAUAUCACAAUAGAUAAAAUGCAGGAUUUAUAAGCAAAACCAUGUGAGUAUCCUAUCUACAUCAUUGACUUUCUCCAUGGUCUUGAAUCUGUCUUUAUUCUAUGCCUUCACUGUUGUCAUCUGCCAAAUGGGAAUACCAAUUCUUUAUCAGUUCUUAAGGAUAUGCAGAAGGAAGUAUUAGUUAUUAUUAAUGUAUUUUAAACUACUUGAUGACACUAGCUGCAUGCAUAUAGAUCCUUCUUGUUUUAAACAAGAGAUGCUAAACAAAACCAAGAAAUAUUAAAUUAUACAUUUACAGAAGAGAUAAAUUAUAGAGGUAGUUAUUAUUUAAAUUGCAGAAAUAUUUCUCAUUUUCAGCCCAGGGUUCCUUUACAAAGCAAUCUGUCUUGUGCUUUUAAAAAAA